rnacentral:rRNA from 1 species
UACGUAGGGUGCGAGCGUUAAUCGGAAUUACUGGGCGUAAAGCGUGCGCAGGCGGUUCGUUGUGUCGGCGGUGAAAGCCCCGGGCUUAACCUGGGAGUGGCCGUUGAAACUGGCGAACUGGAGUGUGGCAGAGGGGGGUGGAAUUCCGCGUGUAGCAGUGAAAUGCGUAGAGAUGCGGAGGAACACCGAUGGCGAAGGCAGCCCCCUGGGCUAACACUGACGCUCAGGCACGAAAGCGUGGGGAGCAAACAGG